rnacentral:rRNA from 1 species
UGCCGGACCCAGACAGUGCGCCCGGAUCGGUCGGCAGCCGAGCUCGGUGUCCUAGGCGGCCUCUCCUCCCCUAAGGAGCGACAUGUCCUCUUCCACCUCGCUCCCCUCGAGCACCUCCAACCACGAUAGCCGCCCCUCCUCACCGUUGCUGGUUUUAGCCGGCCGCCACUCCUUCCCCUAGCCCGACUCCCUCUCUCUCUUGCCCCUUCCUCCGACACACUCCAAUCCC